CAAAAGUUUAUCUCAAUACUUUGUCAUUGCCAACAAAGGGUAUAUAACAGAGGUCAAAUGUUUUCUGUAAGUCUGAAGACAGAACCUCUACAGAUGGCAUCUAACAGCAUUGAAAAAAAUCAUAUUUCUCCACUCCUGUUACCAAGUCCAAAUUUAGCCUACAUUUGGUGUAUAAUUUUACUGCAAGAAAUGCUUAAUUCUGCAGGAAUUAUUAUUAAGGCUAUAGCCCUAUUCACACGGGACUAGUAUUAUUAGAGAACGUUGGUUAUGUAUUUAUUACCCCAGAAUGUCCAUUAUUUCAAAGGAUGAUUCAGACGGGAUUAAUUGACAGUUAUGACUGAUACCUGGAGGUUUUUUUCUAGGCAUGAAGACAUUUCAACAAGUCCAGGCUACACUGAUAAAACUCGAGCCUGGUUUCCAAGUUUGUAAACCAUACCAAACUGUCUUUGGUAUAGUGUUGCCACAAUAUUUGAAUUGAGGAAGUGUGAUCUGUGAAAGAAAAAUUACCUGAUUUGUUUGAUAUUAAUAGUUAACAAUGAAUACUUAACAAAUAGUAAGACAUUUCUGUUCUACUAAUGCUGUGUUUUUCUGGUCUCCACUCUAUCUCCCUGCAGCUAAUCUGGGCAUAUGGUUUUACUAUAGAUAGCUUGAGCUGACAAUUGAUUAAUAACUUGGUGAUAAAAACCUACAGCUGGUAUUCCAUAGAUAAGAUGUGGUGUGUGUGAUCCGAGAUAGAAAGAGCCUGGAGGAGUAGAACAAUCCCUUAUUGUGUCUAAUCAUUCUUGCAUCUGGGAAAUGUCCCUGGCUGCAGAUGAACACAGGAUGAACCCAGGAUGGAUUGUGGUGCCCCCCAAUCUGCAUGGGGGGGUGGAACCAGCCAUGACUAGGCAUGUUUGGGUCUCCUAUAGAAGAUCUCUGUUUUUGAUUAAAGGUUAAGCUCUCGGUAACACACACUUCGGAGUGUGUGGUCGACCAUCUUCAUUAUUGCAAUAAUUAAUCAUUAUUAAAUAAAGAUGAUCGUUUGACGAAAUGACAAAGUCUCUCUCAGUAUACAUUGAUUUCCAUGACAUAUCAUAAUCAUUAGGAUAGUUUAGCAAUCGGCAGUAGAAGACGUCCUAAAUGCUCCCCAGCCUUCAGAUGUGAGCUCAACAUCUAACGUGGACUUGAUGUGCGUUUUUAGGAAAUGGAUUAGAAGGUAAACUUGUUCCAAACGUUUAGCUCAGUUGUAUGCUGCUUUGUGAUCUAUUAACAGCAGGGGUUGCAUUAAAUAGGCACAGCAUUUUUUAUGAUACAUUUGGUGAUCAAUUCAUUCGCACAAAACAUAUAAACAAAAGCAUUCACUGUGGAAGUUGAUACACGUAGGCCCUUCAUAUAUAGGCUAUGUGCAGCAUUUUGGGCAAUUUAUUGAAUCCGUUGUUUUCUUGGUCAAACCGCAAGUAACACCUGACAAACUCAAACAUUUCUCUCAUGUCGAUUCACAUGGUACUAAUAUUAUCAGAGGACUUUGGAGUUUGCAAAAAAACAGUAGGUUAUUCUGGUUGGUCAAUGUCCAGAUUUCAGUUUCAUUUAACCCAUCUGAACAGCAGGCUACAGUUCCCUUGACAUGCCAUUGUAACGGUUGUUUGUGGUGGAAGAAGAGGAGGACCAAUGCGCAGCGUGAUAUAACCGCAGGGACUGUGGGUUCUAGGUCAACCCGCGCAUCACUUCCGGGGACCCCAGCCCAAAGUCUUUGUGGGAGAUGAGGCCUUUCCUCUCCGGAGAAACCUCAUGCGGCCCUUCCCUGGAGCAAUCAUCCCCAGGAGAAACACGGUCUUCAACUACCGCCUCGCCCGAACCAGGCUGACUGGAGUGCACCUCCGCCAUUCUUGCGUCCCACUGGCAGAUGUUCCGGUGAGUUAACAGGGUCCACCCUGCUAACGCAGAGGUGUGUGUGAAGGCUACCUGUGUCUUGUAUAACUUCAUGAGCAUGGACACAAGAACCAGGAGGGGAGCUGCAGCUCACCGCCGUGUCCCAGAGGAGAGGUCAACUGCUCUGCAGGAUGUUGCCAGGAUGGGGGCCAACAACGCAGCACUUGUCCGUGUGCUGGAGAUCUUCACUUUCUCCUUCUUCGAGGAGGGUGCUGUUCCCUGGCAACAUCUUGUGCCAUGUACUAUGUACAACCAAAGGCUCUUUUAAGAGCCACCCACAUUGCAGUAAAAUAUAUAUUUUCAUUCAAUGUCACCUGUAGUUAUUCUAUUCCCACUAUAUCUCCAUUUGAUUUAUAAUUCUCAGGUGAGGGUGCUGUUCAGGUCUGCACAAAACAAAAAUAGGCUAUUUUAAGACGUUCAGGUGUGUGGGCUGUAGAUCCUUCCACCUUCAAAGAAUAGGCUGUAGGACCACCACUGGGGAAUAAUAAGACACCAGUAUUUAUAUUUAUGUAACUAUGCUAUAUUGUUUGUCUUCCUGAGUCUGUGCAUAUUUUUCAGUAUAAAUUACUCUGCAAACACUCAGUGUGGACACUAGGUGAGGCCACGCACACACACACACAGAGAGAGAAAGAUUCCUGUUGAACACUGUCUCUACCGUAUUUUCUCAAUAAGUGUCUCCGUUCUUCACGUCAUCCCACACCCCCUUCUCCCUAAAUCCUCUAGGUUAUAUCAGCUGUGUCAGUGAACCCCUCCCACUUCUGAACUGCCUGAAACAGAUGCACAUCUUGAUCAGAGGUAUUGUCUGUGAGAGAGGAUGCCAAUCCCUAGUCCCGUCAUCGUCACCUCAUCCGCUCAAAGACAACCCAACUGGGGGCCCAAGGCUGGUUAGGAGACACCGGUAGAGAUACUAUUAUGUAACUGUGAUGACCUGAGAGAAUACGUAGUUUAGUUGCACUGUGAUUCAUGAAUCAUAAGCUUUCUUCCCUGCUCCUCUGUUCUGCUCUGUUCUGCUCUUUCCCUUUCUGUCUUUGACCCCCUCUCACACCUCUCCCCCACCUCCUACUUCUUCCCUGCUCCUCUGUUCUCAUCUUUCCC